CAGCAGUCAUGCCAAAAAUUAGAUAUUUGAUAGGUUUGUGAGAGAAACAGAUGCAGAAAGAUGCCAUUCCCACAAUUUAGACUCCUUCUUAUCUUUAAGCGAGAAAGAACAUUCCAGACGAAGAAAAUCUAUUUUAUUGGCUUUAAAAAAUAACAAAGAAAAUGUAGAAAUAAAAAAAUGCUAAUUUGAAACUGAUGUCAUUCUUGGGGACCUAUAAACUGCAAAUCAGUGUUUCUAACUUAAAAAUAGUGGCCCAAGAUAUGCUUACUUGAGGUUUGCAUUUAUGCUACAUUUUUUUACCUCAGCUGUGUUGUUAUAAGUGAGAGAAAGUAUCUAUGACAUAUAUUCACAUAUAGUAAGUACUAUGUGACUGUAGCAAGAAAAAAAAUAGAAAAGUAUAAACCUCCAAAAGGUUAAAACAUCCAAAAAGUAUUCUCUCAGCUUUUUGGGGGGAAGCUUUUUGUGUCCCAUUCUUUUUAUUUAAUUCUGCCAGCUGUCUGCUAAACAAAUCUAGCCAGGUGGGGCUUACAACCCAUGACUAAAAAACCACUAGUGCAGCUGUCCAGCUUGCCCGGAGGAAGAAUUCAGACAAAUGGCAGGAACGAAAAGAUUGUUUUAUUUUCAAGAAAGUAGCUACUGUACCUUCUUCAAGGUUCAGUGUUUGUUUUUUGUUUUUUUUUUUUCUGUUUGCUUAAGCUAAUCCUUUUCGUCCUAAGGUUUUGUGGUAAAAUAGAAAAAUAGUGCCAAAAAUAGUGUUAAAAAUUUUUAGUGUAUUUUUUAAUAAUGAGUUUAAUUUAUUAUGAUUUUCCCUGAAAUAAAGGCUUUAUUUUACAUUGCAACCUUGUACUGAGUUGUCUUUUUUUUUUUUUUUUCCUUUGAGAGUUACUGAUUGCUAAAUCUUUUUUUUUUUUCUUUCUUUCUUAGGUAGGAACAAGUUAUUAGUGAACUGUGACUGAACUUUAUUUCUAAAUAUCACAUAAUUAAAUAUGGAGCUAUUUAAAGGUGAAGGUUGGCAUGGCUUAUGCGUGAGCAGAGGAACAGAACAGGCUUCUUUGCACUGCAUCAUCAGUCGACCUCAACUGUAAAUUUCUAGUCAGCAAAUGGGCGCCUCAUUUGGUGCAUCUGAGCAGAGGACGAAGAGGGCUGCGCUAAAAAUGAUACCAUUGCCAUCUGAGCUCCAGCUCCACUGAUGACAGAUCAAUGACUAAACCAUUCAGCUAUUUUCCCCGCUUCUUUGACAUUUGUCAAUUCAGUGCAUUUCAAUGCUUUCAUCCCAUCCAUCCUGCCUAAAAUUCUCACCUCAUGAAAAAACUGCUAGGGUUAUAGCUGGUUUCGGUCUUUGGUCCCAGCACCUGUUCUGGAGAGCUGACCCUCAUCUUCAGAAUUAAGACUCAACGCUGAUUGUAGCCAGACUUCUACAACACUCCUCGGGGAAGUUCUUGGGGUGUCCUUCACAGAAGCAAACAGGAACCGGAAAUCUUUGACAGGCAAAAGUAAAGUGCUUCUUAUGUCCAUUCACCAGCUGUGAUUUGGGUAUAGGUUGAAAAGAGAAUGAGAGUAAAAGAGAGAGUAAGAGUUUUCUUAGCAAGGGCACGUGCCAGUUUGUAAAUUGGUGAAGAUUUUUGAUUAAAUCUCAGAGCAGAUUUGGCAAAAAGCUAGAACCAGGAGACUGACAUAUUUAGUUGCCUUAUUCUGCCACAUAGAGCAAGUGACACAGGAAACAAUGCCUGUAGUCUGAGUUCUGCAGAUCAACACGGUACCCAGAAUAAACCAGCAAAGACAGAUCAGGUCCUUUUAUUGUAGAACAGGACUUGAGUGAUAUUGACCGGGGUGCUCCCAAACCCAAAAGCAACAAGCCCAAUUCCUCAUGAGGAAACUGAAGUGACAAUGCAGAACUAACCCUCCCAGUUUGUUGUUCGUUAAUAAAGAAGGAGUAAUGGGGGAUUCUUGGCAAAACUUGUAUGUAUGCAUAAUAAUCAUGUACUACAAAAGAGUAAAUGACAUGACAGCCCUCAGAGGGUUUACACAUGCAUUUGAAUCUUAGAAGUUAAUAAGUUAGAAAAAAAGAUGUGAAUAAGUUGUGCAAAAACAUAUCAACAAACCAGAUUAAAAGAAGUAGAGUGUCCCUUCGCCUUCCUCCCCAUCCCUGAAACCUGGUCAGCUACCCCUCAUAUCACAGCAUCCAUCUUGAUCCUAAAUUUAUGCUUCCCUCUUUGGACUGAACUACUUUUGGACAGUGGGGGCAACCAACAUAUUGCCUCUGUAGUGACUUUGUGCUUAUGCAGGGAUAAAUACCAAGACCAAAUUUACAAAUAUUAUAAAGGCAGCAUCAUUUGCUUUUAGUGUAUCACACUGACAAGAAAGAACAAAUAGCUGUUUAAGAAAGAAUACUCUGAGUACUAUACAUGUAAGAAGGGGUGACUUGGAGAAAAAAAAUUAGAAAGAAAAUCUCAUAACAUUUCCUCCUUUUUCCUUUCUUCCUUUUUGUAUGCACGUGCAUAUGAGUCUGUUUGUAUUUAAAUUCUCUUUAAGUACAUCUUUAAAUGUGGGCAAGGAUUGCUUCAUAAUAGAGUGCAGACAAGCAAAUCCAUAAUACAUACAUUUUCUAUAUUUUCUCCAUUUUGAGAUUGAUGAAUGGAGAACUAAAAGAAUAAAUAAUUUAUACUUGUAGAAAGAGAAAUAUGUAUGUGUGUUCGGCAAAGAUCUUAGAAAUCUUAAUUUCUAAACAUGUGGUGAGUAUAAACUAAUACGGAGAUGGAAAAGUUUUCUCUAAUGUUUUCUCCAUUAGCAACAACAUUUAUAGUGGAACCAAAGAUUUUCAGUCCAAAGUAAGUUUGUAAUUAAUAGGGUGAUUUUCUCUUACAGACAUUCAGAUAUGGCAUGUCCUUUUGUAAGUAGUAAUUUCAUGAAGCAAAUGCUCCUAUAAUAUAGUUAAUCUGAAACAUGGCUGUUAGGUCUGCUGUUUUAUAUCUGCAUGGUAAAGGGUAUUCAAUACCUUCUUAAGCUUUAUGUCUUCUUCUUUAGCUUUCCAGGCUGUCCAUCCUAGACCUGUCUCCUAGCCUUCGUGAAAGUGGGUCCUCUCUUUCUCAUUUUGCAUUAUCUCAGCCUUUUGCUGACUUCUAAUCCCUAGGAUCAUGAACUGGAUUUGAACAUUUAACCUUGAAACUAUGUCCCCAGGAAAAAAAAUGAACACUGAAUCUUUCUCAUGUUUCAAAAAUAAUUUUCUCAUGGAAGUAGGGUCAUGUUUUUAAAACUAUUCGAUCAAAACAUGCAACCCAUGUACCCCGUUAAUAGCAGAUAAUAUAAAAAUGCACAGAUUCCAUGGUUCAGUCCGAGAAGCACACAAGGUAGAAGACUCUCACAAGACUUUCAUCCUGUGCCCUCAUUUUGGCAUCUCUCUGAUGAUAGCCCAGCAGACUAACAGUGUGUUUCUGUAUUGUGCAAGAGAUGGUAAGAAUUUGAAGCUCAUUUUACAGUAUGAAUUUUUCCAAUGUAUCACAAUUACACAAAUACCUGGACUUUCUAACAAUUUGCUGAUUCACUCCGAAAGUUCAUUGUCUUUGAAUAUCUGUACUGUCAGUAUCUCUGCCUUCUGUAUUUUAUUCUUUCUCUUUACUCUCUCUCCCUCCUGCCUCCCUCUGCUCCUUCUCGCUUGCUUCAGUUUUUGUUUCCCUCCAUUCUACGUCUCUGUUUCUCCUUCUUUUCUUUUACUUCUCUUUUUUUCUUCUGUUGUACUUCCCUUCCCCUUGUUACCUUUUGAAAAUCAGCCUUUAAGCCAAGGCUUUUCUUAAGGCCCAAGGACGUCCAAUUCUAGAAAACUUUCAUCUAUUCAUUAAAAUGUGGAAAAAACAAAGCUCCAACAAACAAUGCUGCCUAUCAAAGAGCAGACGUGUUAUUCCAGAGAAAUCAUAGCUAAUGAUUUCAUUUUCUAUCGAAUGUGUUUCCUGUCUCACAAUAAUUAAAAGGCUCCUACAAGGCUACAAAGGCAUGCCAUUUGGGUCUGAGCAACUAACCUAAUGUGUAGAUUUGACUUCACACAGCAAUCGCUUAUUGAGUCAGAAUAGACAGACCUUCCCGCGUGCUCUCAUGUUGUACUGUUUACAAGGCAGUCCUGUACUUCUGGUUUACAGCUCUACUUAGAUCCUGUUACAGUUAUACUUAGAUCUUUCUUUUGGUAAGAUGGAAUUUAAUGAGAAGGAAAGUGUGCUUUCAGUUUGCAUUUGCAGAAGGAUUUAUAGUUAAACUUAGGGUAUGUAAAAACCACAUUUACCCCAAAAUAAGCAAAGGAUUCAUUCACAGAAAGAACAAAAUGGCCCCACCUGAAUCAUCAUGAAAGGAAUUCUUUAUAAAAUUUUUUGAGUGUAUAAAAUAUUAAAGAAAUAUUUCUCCGAAACCAACAAGUUUCCUACCUUUUGGAAAUCCACCUUAAGGUUGGUUACAACUCUGGUGCGCUGAUCAUUUGCAAACCCCACUGCUGCAACCAAGGAAGGGUGGGGCUGCCUCCUGAGACAUCUGUGAACCAGAAUUGCUGGCAGGGACUGCUACGAUUUCCAUGGAAGUGACUGCUCACAGCCUGGCUGCAGGCACAGUAGACCUGGGGUAACUACUUCCACAUAUCAACACCUUGUCAGAGGAGGUCUGAAAGGCACAGCAACUCUGGGAAAGGAAAGUACCUGCUUUAGGGAGAGCUAACCAGCUACCCCGCCUUCCUCUACCAUCAAGUCUUUCACAUAAAAGACAGAAAGGAAGCCAAGUAGGAAAAAAAGAGUAAUAAGCAAAAUAAGUGUUUAAAUUAUGGCACUGGUUGGCUCUGAUUAUUGGUAUUUAGCUACAUAAUAAAUUUCUAAAGAUUCGGAUCACAUAGGAUUAUCUAACCUUAGAAGAACUUAGUCUAUCUAGGUCUAAACUUGAACACAGAAUAUAGUUUAAAUGUACUAUUGUGGCACACACACUUGUGAUUCUUUGGGAGGUGGUUCACAAGCAAUUUGUGAUUAAUAAUAGCUUUCCACUGAUUUACUUAAAAAUAAAUUAGAGUGGAGGAUUCAAAGUUAUUCCUAUGAGAAUUUCAUUCUCACUCACUGAUAUUCCCAUCUGCAUUCUCGUUUGAAUGAGAAGAAGGUGGAGGUAUAAAUAAUAUCCGGGGAAUCACAUACAUCCUUAAAUGUCCAGGAAACGGUGUCCCCUGUGUUAAUAUAAUUUGCCGUGUGUUUUUGAGGGGGAACAAAAUCCAAACGCUGAGAUCCACUGCUUCAGGAUUUGAGUUGCUAAUAUUUUUUAUUUGUCUGUAUUUAAUCUCCUUAAAAUCAUGACAUAAAGAAAGAAAAGUAUCAUUUUGUUAAGCAUCUAACAAUAAUGAUAGAUGAGGCCUCAAAAAGAUUGUCUAGUUGCUCCUUCUAUGGGCUGGAUCACACCUAAACCUGCUGAGAAUAGUCAGCAGUGGUGCACCCUCUGAUCAUUUCAAUUCAGAUUCAGAGUAUAAAGUGCUGGAAAGUGCUAUGAUGAGGAGGUAGAAUUUAUAACUGAACUUAAAAUAUGAAAUCUGUGCAUGUGCUCCUGAGGGGCAGUUGCUGUAUUAAAGAUAUGUUAUAAAAGAAGCUCCUUCUUGUAAAAAUAAGCUCAACAUUGCUCUUGGGAUAAGCAAGCCUUCGUUUUCCUCACUUUUGCUGAAGUUGAAAGCAUCUGAAUUAUAUUGGACAUAUCUAGCACCUAUAGAAAUUGUGAGCUGGCAUUAUUUUAUAUGUUUAUUGUUUGUUCUAUGUUUGUCCUCUUUUCUAGAAAUAAGUCUCAUGAAGACAAGGAUUUCAUGUUUAUAUUUUUAUUUGCAGUGCCUAUACCAAGGUAACAACACCUGAUGUGCAUUAUGAUCAUUGACUAUUUGUUGAAUAAAGAAAACAAAAUCCCCCACUUUUUCUCAGGAAAAGUCAGCAGCAUCACAUUCUCACCGUUUCAGAACCUGUGGACCCAAUAGGCAUCUUAUCUUUUAUAGAGCCGUUCAGGAGAGGUUGACUGAUAUAAGGCAUUGGCUUUUAUUUUCUUUAGAAAAAAGAAAAGAAAAUCUGAUACCAUUUUCACUAGCCAGCGCGAUCUUUCUGGUUUCUUAGUUGGCAAAGGAAAAGCACAGGUUGAAAUGUUUAGAAAAGAUAAAGGAUCGUUUUUGAAUUUUGAAGACCGGGGCUUUUACACAUGAUUUCAAAGUUGAUUGAGCACGUAAAGCUUGAUGAAGACAAAUCCUGCAAAAGCAAAGAAACCCCUUCUGAUGAGUACCCCGGGUGUGAACACACCACACCAUGACCAUGUAGAAAUAAUAGCCUGUAUCGGCAACAGAGGCUGCUAUUUAAUGAGAGCAGUGCCAUUGUUCUUGAAAGUCUAAUUGGUAAACAUCUUGCAGUGCUGACUCAUCAGAACUGAAAACCCAGUCAUACAUCACCAUUGUGAUUUAACACUAAUGCUGAAAUUCACAUCACGGAGUAGGCUACAGCAUCCGCUGAAACUCAAACAGGUCGCUGAAAGGUGCAUUUCAUCAGUGAGCAACUUCUUUCAUAUCAAAGGAAUUUUACCCCAAGUGUGGCAACUGGCUAUGUUUGAAAGCAGUUAACUGUUGGGGGAAACGAGUUGUUUUAGUUCCCUAUAAAAAGGUAAUAAUCUCUAAUCCUGGAUGUUUUAAAAGUUGUUUCCUCAAAUUCCACAGCAAACAAUAUGAAAUAACAACCUAGUAUCUUUGUAUCUUAAUCAUGUUCGGUAACGAAGCCCUUUAGAUAAUUGGCACUGCUUCUGUAGUAGGCCAAACUUUCUUUCAAGUUACAAAUACUCACAAAAGGUUUACAUUAUAAGGGGCUGCUUUGGAGAUGUGCAGAUUUAGUUUGUAAGUACAAAGUGAACAUGCAAAUUGCCUUAUCUUGUGGGAUUCACAAACAACCAUCAUUCAGAUUGAUUUAAUACAUGGCUUUUUAUCUUUAAAAGUGUUAAUUAGAAAAUAGGGACAGUUCUCUGAACACUUAAGAGUAAUAAAUAGAUCAAAACAGCAUCCAUGCUUCUGUGAUGGAACUUCUGAGGGCUUUGUAAAAGGAUUAAUGCAAUUGUCAAAAAGACCACAGUCUACAUAUUUAAUAGUGUUACCAAGCUACAAUUACAUGUUUAGGACUUUAUUGCGAAGUUUCUCAAAAUUAGCUGUCUUGAAAAACUGAGAUUUGGGGUGACAUUGUUCAACAUUUGAAGUUACUGUUUUGUUUUAAUGUUUCCACCUUGAACCCCUAAAUAUUCUCUUCCAGAGACGAUUCUAAAACCGCAAGUGAAUAUCAGAAGUUCUUCAAACAAAGAUGGGCCGUAGAACCGCACAAAGUAACAUGUUAAGAGAAAAAAUAUGAUUCUUGCAUUUUCUUUUGAAUGAAAAACAUAAAAUGAUUCGCUGAGAAUUUGCCUCUAUUUUGCAAUUUCUCUAUAAUCUGACAGUUAAACGCAUGUGCUGAGAAGUCAAUCUUGGCUCUGCUACUGCCUGGCUCAGUGACUUCAGGCAAGUGACGUUACAUCUCUGUGCCUCGGCUCAUCUGUAAAAUGUGCAAAAUCACAGACCCUUUCUCCUAGGGUCUUUGGUGGGGAUUAAAUAAAAUAGUGUUGAGUGGUGCCUGGCACUUGAGUAAGUGCUCUGUAAGUUAUGAUAAUUGAGGCAUUUGCUAAUGAAUCUAGAUGGUGGUUUUCACUAGGCUUAGUUAUAUGGUUAUCCUAUCACCAGCUUUAAAAAUACUUGUGAAUGCCUCUUCAAAUUU
rnacentral:lncRNA from 1 species